rnacentral:lncRNA from 1 species
AGAGUUGGAUGAAUCAAGCCUAAGUGUGGUUGAGAGAGCAGAUGACUAAAUCAAAGCAUGUCUGUGAAGGGGGUUGUGUGAGUUAGGGCCUAAAAUGCAACUUUUUCAGCUGGACCCUGGGUACCUGGCUGAAGACUUUGGACUUUAACCUGGAGAUGAUGGAGAGUAUGCAGGAUAAAGUCCAUACCAAAUCCAACGCCUAGCAAAUGGAGAACAAGCCAAAACUAACAAGAUAAAAUGUAGCAGGAAAAAGUGCAAAGAGCUGAAGUGUGGAAUAAGUGGGAGAGGUCUGCCAUGCCCUAUCUGACCUUGCUGCCAUGAUCUUUAAGGCUGUGUGUCCUGGUUGGUGCAGCUACAAGAUGGCAGAAAUGCCUAAGUGAUGGUAUGGAACAGAGGAUCCCUCUUCUCACCAUUGUCUUGCAUGUUUCCUUGUGUGAACCACAAAUAAACUUUUGUUAUGUUAAGCUGCUGAGAUUUUGUGUUUGAUUUAUUACUGUAGCAAAGCAUAUCCUAAAGUAUUAGCUCUGUGAUCUUGUGCAAGC